rnacentral:rRNA from 1 species
UACAGAGGAUGCAAGCGUUAUCCGGAAUGAUUGGGCGUAAAGCGUCUGUAGGUGGCUUUUUAAGUCCGCCGUCAAAUCCCAGGGCUCAACUCUGGACAGGCGGUGGAAACUACCAAGCUGGAGUACGGUAGGGGCAGAGGGAAUUUCCGGUGGAGCGGUGAAAUGCGCAGAUAUCAGGAGGAACACCAGCGGCGAAGGCGGCGCUCUGGGCCGGUACUGACACUGAGGAGCGAAAGCGUGGGUAGCGAACAGG